rnacentral:rRNA from 1 species
UGGGGAAUUUUGGACAAUGGGCGAAAGCCUGAUCCAGCAAUGCCGCGUGUGUGAAGAAGGCCUUCGGGUUGUAAAGCACUUUUGUCCGGAAAGAAAUCCUUGGCUCUAAUACAGUCGGGGGAUGACGGUACCGGAAGAAUAAGCACCGGCUAACUACGUGCCAGCAGCCGCGGUAAUACGUAGGGUGCAAGCGUUAAUCGGAAUUACUGGGCGUAAAGCGUGCGCAGGCGGUUUGCUAAGACCGAUGUGAAAUCCCCGGGCUCAACCUGGGAACUGCAUUGGUGACUGGCAGGCUAGAGUAUGGCAGAGGGGGGUAGAAUUCCACGUGUAGCAGUGAAAUGCGUAGAGAUGUGGAGGAAUACCGAUGGCGAAGGCAGCCCCCUGGGCCAAUACUGACGCUCAUGCACAGAAGCGUGGGGGAGCAAAACAGGAUUAGAUACCCUGGUAGUCCACGCCCUAAACGAUGUCAACUAGUUGUUGGGGAUUCAUUUCCUUAGUAACGUAGCUAACGCGUGAAGUUGACCGCCUGGGGAGUACGGUCGCAAGAUUAAAACUUAAAGGAAUUGAC